rnacentral:rRNA from 1 species
GCAUAUCAAUAAGCGGAGGAAAAGAAACCAACAGGGAUUGCCUCUGUAGCGGCGAGUGAAGCGGCAAGAGCUCAGAUUUGAAAUCGCAGCACCAUGCUGCGAGUUGUAGAUUGCAGGUGGGAGAGUCUGCGUAGGCCGGUGUCGAAGUCCCUUGGAACAGGGCGCCACUGAGGGUGAGAGCCCCGUGCGAUGCCACGCUCUACGUUUUGUACUCCCCUCUGACGAGUCGAGUUGUUUGGGAAUGCAGCUCUAAGUGGGUGGUAAAUUCCAUCUAAGGCUAAAUACUGGCGAGAGACCGAUAGCGAACAAGUACUGUGAAGGAAAGAUGAAAAGCACUUUGAAAAGAGAGUGAAACAGCACGUGAAAUUGUUGAAAGGGAAGGGUAUUGGGCCCGACAUGGGAAUCGCGCACCGCUGCUCCUUGUGGGCGGCGCUCUGGGCUUUUCCUGGGCCAGCAUCGGUUCUUGCUGCAGGAGAAGGGGCUGUGGAAUGUGGCUGCCGCGCUUUGCCGGGGCAGUGUUAUAGCCACUGGGCCAGAUGCUGCGUGUGGGGACCGAGGACUGCGGCCGCAAGGUCUCGGAUGCUGGCACAACGGCGCAAUACCGCCC